GUGAGUAAUGGCGAUGGAUAGAGGCUUCUUUGUUGGGGUCCGCGAUCGGUAAAGCUAGAAUGGAGGAAUGGAUGGAGCGAUGGACUGGGACAGUGGACCGAAAGGUUUUUUAAACAUGUUAUUUUUUAUCCUAGAUUGACAAUGAUGGUUUUUGGAAACUCCUUUUACAAGAUAUUAAAAGGGGAGAAUUUGCCAACAGGAAACUCAAAACCAAGCGUCACGUCAAGAAACAACAGCAUCACUUGAUCCAGCCUCUGAGUAUACCAGCAUAUGUUGCUAAUUCCCCAGCAUAUACUGCUAAUUCCAAGCUGCCUGUGGAGAAGACGAUAUCUGACCUUCUUGAACCACUGCAGCCCAUGUAGUGAAGGUGCCUCCACAAUGCUGUUCGGGUAUUCGAAGCGGAGGAUUUGCAGUCGGGAAACUCAAACCAAAUAUCACGUCAGCAUCUGAUGGAGUCGUCCAAUUUAUCGUAACCUGAAUACUGUAGAACUUUGAACAUGGAUGGAAAAAGCACUGUUCACAGUGGAGAGAAACCAUGGAACUGUGGGGGUUGUGAGGAGAGAUUCAGUUACCCAUCUGAGCUGGAAACUCAUUGACACACUCACACUGAGUAGAGGCUGUUCACCUGCUCUGCAUGUGGAAAGGGAUUCACUCGAGCAUCCCAGCUGAUUACACACCUGCGAGUUCACACCGGGGAGAGGCCAUUCACCUGCUCGGAGUGUGGGAAGGGAUUCACUCAGUCAUCCAACCUGCUAACACACCACCACAUUCACACUGGGGAGAGACCUUUUCAAUGUCCAGACUGUGGGAAGUGCUAUAAAAGUUCUGGGUACCUGAUUACCCAUCAAUGUGUUCACACUUUCAGAUGCUCUCACUGCGGGACUAGGUUCAGGGGAUCAUUUCAACUCACGGUACACCAGCAAAUUCACACUGAUGAGAGACCUUUCAACUGCUACAUGUGUGGGAAGGGAUUCACUCAGUUAUCCCAUGUGCUGAGACAUGAAAGAGUUCACACUGAUGAGAGACCUUUUAAAUGCAUGGACUGCGGGAAGUGUUAUAAAAGUUCCAGGGAACUGAUGUCCCAUAAACGUAUUCACACUGACAAGAGACCGGUCAGGUGUUUUUACUGUGGGGCUGCAUUCAGGGGAUCAUCUCAACUUUCUGUACAUCAGUGAAUUCACACUGGGGACAGGCCAUUCACCUUCUCUGAGUGUGGGAAGGGAUUCACUCAGUCAUCCACACUGCUGAAUCACCAACGGGUUCAUAUUGGGGAGAGGCCGUUUAACUGCUCCAAGUUUGGGAAGAGAUUCACUCGGUCGUGCCACCUGCUCAGCCACCAGUGAGGUCACACAAUGGAAAGUCGUUCACCUGCGCCAGGUUUGGGAAGAGAUUCAGUCAGUCAUCCAUACUGCUGAGUCACCAGUGAGUUCGCAAGUAACUACAGUGAUUGGAUUUUCUGUUAAUCACAUCCAGGACUGAACUAUGCUUAUUGGGGUCUGUUUCUGCUGAUGUUAAUAAACUCCACACCAUUAAAGGAUAUAAUAUUCAGGAUAAAAGUCAAAUAAAUCACCUUUGUGCUAAA